CAGCCGUAAACUAUGCGCGUUAGGUGUACUGGUGACCACGAGUCACCGGGGUGCCGAAGGGAAACCGUGAAACGUGCCGCCUGGGAAGUACGGUCGCAAGGCUGAAACUUAAAGGAAUUGGCGGGGGAGCACCGCAACGGGAGGAGCGUGCGGUUUAAUUGGAUUCAACACCGUAAAACUCACCAGGGAAGACUGUUACAUGAAAGCCGAGUUGAAGACUCUGCUAGAUCUUCAGAGAGGUGGUGCAUGGCGUCAGUGACU
rnacentral:rRNA from 1 species